AGAACACAAGUGUACACACAAUUUGUUUCGAACGAUACAUUUUCACGUCUUCAAAUUUUGUUUAGUGCAUCAAUCUAAGAUUUAAAAACCUCAAAGAACUCUUCUUAUUUGACAUCAAAACGUUUUUAACACUGUGAGAUCUCUAAGAUCGAUAAGCAAUACCAAUAUAUAUACUCAUGACUCAUGACUCUUGCUUGAGAGGUACUAAAGGAGAGCCAACCAAGCUACACCAUUAGGCAAUAUGUUUGAUGUUUCCUUACGUUUUAGGGUUGUUAAUUUUUCUCAACCCUUAACCAUACAAGUUUGUGCCAUCUUUCCCUUUGCAAUACUAACAAAAUUCGUAAUUGCAUUAGAAAAUAUUACAAUUUCAUCAAUAACUCAAUAUUUUGAUAUCUUAUUAUAUCUUCCAAAUAUUUUCAUGUUUUGUUUGCAAAUUUUUGUAAAUAUUGUUUCUCGUGCCCACACAGCUGUGGUCCAGUGGUUGUUGAGAAUUGGGGAAAAGAUUGAAGGAACUAACCCAGGUUCGAUCCACGCUGGAAACAAAAAAACACAUUUGUGUGGGAAGUCUGGGCUUGGGCCUUUUACCUGGUAGUGCAGUAACAGGCGAUCUGGCUACCCUUGACAUUAGUCGGAAAACAUUCCAAACUCGGGACAGGCAUUAUGGUAGCUCUUCGGAGAGAAGUCCACUCUGAAGCACUUCGGUGCGUUUCUACUGGGGCUGACCGGAUCAGCCGAUAGGGUUUAUAAAAAAAAAAAAUAUAUAUUGUUUCUUGUAUCUUCAAACAAAUUAUACAUUUCAGCAAAAUAAAAUAUUUUCACGUUUCUACAUGCUACCUUAUAUUACAUUCUCUUAAUACAAUGCUCCUAAUACUCUUUAAGACGUGCAUAAACUUUUAAAAACUGAAUUAGAAUUACUUUAAUUCACAUCGACUUUAGACUACGUUUCAAGUAAAUUAACUUCCAAUACAUUCUGUUUUAAAAGUUUUGUUAUGUUCUAACAAUAUUUGUACUUACUUUACAACUUUACAAACGCCGAUAAUAAAUAUGACUGUCGGAAUAUUUUGUCAUGAAAUUGUCUCCAAAUACAAGCAAAAAUUUCCGAUAUCUACUGUCUACAUUUCAAAUUUAAUGUUUUACCGAAACUUCUUUUACCCUUGCCAUUUUAAAACUUUCACAUUUACUCUACUAAU
rnacentral:lncRNA from 1 species